UCUCACGAUUAUAAUUGGAAGCUUUUCUUUUAGUUGGUAGAUAAAUAUAGUUAUGUAUUUGCAACUGUUGAUGUCUUUGGCUUAAUGAAAUAUAACAAUUUAGCACUACCUGCUUCUUUCUGCAUCAUCACCUUUUUUGCCUACUUUAUUUUUUCUUCAUGUCACCCAGAUGUAUGAGCAGUAACAGAUUAUGCCACUCCAAAAUAUACCUCUUGGGCAUAUCAAUUAUUUUGAGCUAAAGGUCAUUGAGAACCAGCAGACUCAAGAAAACCUCUAAAACAGGGCCCAAGUUUUCCCUUUGUAAAUAAAAGUUACAUUUAUUUUUUAAAAUCCCAUUCGUAGGGAUGUCGCCCUCUUCUUUACCAGGGAAGGAAGGAGUCUUAGCUUUUAUUGGUGGAGAAAUUUAAAUUUGCACAAUAAAACUUAUUUAAAAACUCUUGUUCACCAGACUUUUUUUUUCAACUUUUAUUUUAGGUUUGGGGAUACAUGUGCAGGUUUGUUACAUGGGUAUAUUUCAUGUGGCUGAGGUUUGAUGAAUGAAUAAUCCCAUCACCCAGGUAAUGAGCAUAUAACCCCACAGGGAGUUUUUCAGUUCUCACCCCCUCCUGCCCCACCCCCUCUGUAGUCCCCUGUGUCCAUUGUCCCCAUCUUUAUGUCCAGUAAACUCAAUGCUCCACACUUGUCUUGAUCACCUUCCUAUAAUUUGGCUACCCAUCUAGAAGUCCCAAUCUCCUUUUGGUUGGUUAUAGCCUAAGAUAAUAUGUACAUACAGGUUCUAACCACUGCUUUGAGUUACACAUCUCUGAGCACUCCCAUUUGUAAGUACAAUGCUCAAGUUAAUAAAACUCUGCUUGUUUUUCUCUUAUGAAUAUGUCUUUGGUCAAUUUUAUUUGCAGGGCCCCAGCUGGAGAAUGUAUGAUGGAUAGAAGAAGAGAUUAUUUCUCCUUCUUUACAGACUUGCUGUUUUUACUCAGAACACCAAUCACAAGAGACAACAAUUCCUCCUCUGUGUGUGCAGCCACCAAGAGGAAGGAGUUGCUAAAAUUCCUAGGCUGCCCAAGUACAUCCAUUAGCAGAGAAUCAAGUCUAUCCACGGAUUUCUAAAAGGUGUGAACUAUUUUACAGUAUUUAUAUUUUACCGGAUUUCAA
rnacentral:lncRNA from 10 species